CUUCUUCGCUAUACCGUACGAAUGAAUGGUACACAAUGCCAUCUAACCACGCACCCAGUUGGCAGCUAACAUUUCAUUCGAACACAUAACCUCUUCCCACCAAACGCGCAGAAGGUCUUGGAAAAUAGAGCACUCUAGUAACGGAAGCAGCACAGAAGAGUCGAGAAGACACAAUAACCAAGAGUCCAAGUCACUAGCGUAAUAAGGAGAAAGAAACAACGGCACCCAAAUCAAUGGCCAAAACACAUCACGCAUCCCACGAAACACCCAGAUCACGCCAAGUGGUCCACUAUCACAGUGAAACACGAAAUUACCAUUCAAGACAACCAACAACAAUACACAAAUAAAAAUCGAGGGGCACAAUUGGAAAAUUUGAGCCAAAAUUGACAUCCCAUCCUUUUAUUUAAGGGGAGGAAAAGAAAUGGAACCAAGCAUUCUGUUAUUUUACCUUUCCUAUUUUUGCUUAACAAUCCCCUAAAGCAUAUUUCCGUUUGACCCAAAAAAAAAUCCACUAAAGCGAUGGACGACAAGAUAAAUAAGCAACUCUUCGUUUUGAUCAGAUGACCACUGAAAGCACGACAACAUAGGAUACCCUUUUGAUUUAACCUCAAUAGAAUACCCUUCCCUAGGACUGACCACACCCCACGGAGGUGUCUGGGUUCUCCAGCUUCAAAUAGGAUGUUACCCACCAAUGGAUCUAAUUGAUUUUGCCCAAGCUUCAAAUAGGAAGCACGUAACCUAUUUCAACAAAUGAAUUUGCAAAUUAGAGAACCUUAUAUUUCAAAAAUGUCUAUUCAACCAUUUCCGACUAAUGCAAUCUCUAUAAAAAUUGAUGGAAGUUUCGUAAAGGUAGUGAAGAGAUGAAUGGUAGUGGACGGUGACGUGUAUUUCGGGGGGAGAGAGAACAAAGUGGAGGAAAAUACUUGGACGGGAGAAAACCACGUGUACUCAAAAAGGCAAUGGCACAUUCUCAAUUGCCCCUCAAGACACCCGUAAUUACAAAGAUAGAACCGAGCAAAUGGAUGGAAUUACCCCAACCUCUAGCCUUAUGGCUCCCAAUCAAGGGACUUAAUUGGAAAAAUCAAGGGAAAAUUGUGUUGUAAUACCGGAAUCAGGGUCUCCAAUAAUUUUAUCAGUAGGAUGAUACAAUAGAAGUUUAGAAGAUUUUUCUCUCUUAGCAUUAUCAGGUAAGCAGACAUUAGAGCAUCCACAUUGUAAUAAGUAAAUUGGUAUGGAUAAGCAAACUUAACAACAAUGCUAAAAAAACACCUCACAUUGUAAUAAGCAAAGUUACAAGUCUUUUAGCAAAUAAUCAAAUUCCAUCCAUUCCAUAACCAAACUUAACAACUUUUACCAAUAACCAAAACUCAAUAAUCAAACCCAAUAACCAAACUCAAAACUAAAAAACUAAAAAACACCCCACAUUAGAAUCGUCUCAUCGAGACGAAUAAUUUGGUGUGGUCGGGUGCGUGAUUAAAACUCGUUUGCAAUUGGACAUAGGUGCAUUGCGUAUUGUGGGGGGCUUUUUUAUGGGGAUGCAAAAAUAACCAAUGUGGAGGUAAAGUUUGUUAAGUUUGAUUAUGAACUAAAUGGAUAAUCAAAUGCUGACGUGGCACAUUUUGGUUAUUGAAUUUGAUUAUUCCCAUUGCGGAUGCUCUUAUCAUGUGAAAUCAUGGGAAUACAUCAUCAUCAUCCACAUUAUGCACUAUAUGACAUUGCAACUAAGUACUUCAUCAAAUGUCACAUUAGCAGAUUUUUCAAUUAGCAUAUUCUUUAACAACUAGAGUUCUUUUAUUGAAGACUCUAUAUGCUUUGCUAGAUAAGGAGUAUCCUAGAAAUAUGCCAAUGUCAGAACGUGAAUCGAAUUUUCCAAUAUCAUUAUUAGUAUUUAAAAUAUAGCACUUGCAUCCAAAAGCUUUAAAAUAAGACACAUUUGGUUUCUUACCAAACCACAAUUCAUAAAGCAGUCUUAUGGAUGAUAGAUCUCAAGAAUAUACGAUUACCAAUGUAGCAAGCCGUAUGAACUGCUUCAGCCCAAAAGUAGAAUGGUAGCUUGUUUUCCUUUAGCAUUGUUCUGGCCAUUUCUUGUAAGGAUCUAGUCUUUCUUUCUGCUACUCCAUUUCGUUGUGGAGUUCUUGGGGCUGAGAAUUGAUGUUGUAUUCCAUUCUUGUCACAAUAUGACUCAAACUCCGAGUAGUCAAAUUCUUUUCCACGAUCGCUUUCGAUUUUGAGAACUACAUGACCCUGCUCUUUUUGAAUUCUAGUAACAAUCUUUACAAAGUGGUUAAAGGCCCCAUUUUUGUGAGUACGAAAAUUCACCCAUGUAAAUCUAGAAAUAUCAUCCACCAUAGUAAGGAAAUACUUCUAGCCUCUGAUACUCGUAGUCCUAGUAGGUCCAACGAGAUCCAUGUGUAUUAAUUCUAGUGGCUUGGAAGUAGAGACAAUAUUGACGGUUUGAAAGACCGUUUAAUUUGUUUCCCUAACUGAGAUGCUUCACAUACUUUGUCUUUUGAAAAAUUCAAUUUCGGAAUACCUUUCACAAGGUCUUUUUGAGAAAUCUAUUUCAAAAGUUUCAUGUUAGCAUGUUCGAGUCUUCUAUGCCAUAACCAACUUUCAUUUUCAAAACUAGCAAAACAGUUGUCACGUGUUUUUGAAAUCUCAUUUAUGUCAAUGACAUAGGUGUUGUUAGCUCUUUUUCCAAUGAAAACACUUUCAUCAGUUUACUUGCCUUGAACUUCACAAUGGUUUGAAUAAAAAAUGACUUGGUUUCCCUUAUCACAAAGUUGGCUAAUACUAAGAAGACUGUUUCAAGCCAUCGACUAGAUACACAUUUUCGAUGCUGCUAGGAUUACAAAACGUACCUUUCCCAACGAUUUCACCGUUACUAUUGUCCCCCAAGGUGAUUGUUCCUCCAUCAUGUUUAGAUAGGAAAGAGAAUCUCUCCUUUUCUCCGGUCAUAUGUCUCGAGCAUCUACUGUCUAAGUACCACAUAGAAUCAUGUACUUUUGCUUUUAAUCCCAUAGUCUCUGCAAAAUAACAUCUGCCUUUUGGUACCCAUCUUACGUUGGGUCUUUGAACAUUAGUAUUUCUCUUGGGACAGUUUAUAGAAAUAUGACCUCUGUCAGAACAAUAAUAGCACAUGAUAUUUCCAAAAGUUUUUCUGGUGACAAAAUAAUCUGAGAGUCUUUUCUUAGCAAGAUUAGACGCAAAAGACAUCUCGUAUCCUAUGCCACUUCAAUCACCAAACAAUCUCUGUUUUCCAAGUAAAGUAGUCAAAUUUUUUGACCCUACGUUAAAUCUUUCCAGAUCAAUAUUCUUUUGCUUUAAAUCAUUUUCAAGACUAGAAAUUUUAUUGAUCAAGGUGCGAUUAUUUUUUUUGCGAGAAGCGAUUUCCUUUUUAAGAUUGCUAUUUUUCAAACUGAUAUUUAUUGACUCAUUAUACAAAUUUUCAAAGGCAAUAUAAAUAUCAUCAUUUAAAUCCUCAUAAUCAUCAUGCUCAUUAUCAAUAGAAGCAAUAAAUCCAAUUUCACUUACAUUGGAGUCGGAGAUAUCCAACUCAUCAUCCUCAUCAUCUCAAGUAGCGGCAAAGGCCUUUUUUCCAUUGUUUUGUUUUGCUCGACAGUUGGCGGCUAUGUGACCAAUUUUAUCAUAGUUAAAGCAUCUUCUUUCCUCUUCUUUGUUGUUGUUUCUUCUUUCUCUAUCUCCUUGAUCCGUUCUUCUAACUUCUUUCUUUUUAUGAACUUUUUGAAUCAGCGGGUUAGAAGCGCCAUUUCUUCAUCUUCUUCAGAUUCUUCAUCCUUGUUAGCUUGUGAUGCAAUCCCCCUUUCGGGUUUCUCAUAUUCCUCCUCCGUUAGUACCAUUUCAUGUGUGAUGAGUGAUCCAAUUAGUUGCUUGACAGAAAGAGUUUUGAGAUCUUUUGCUUCUUCAAUGGCUGACUUUUGGUCUCCACCUUUUUGGUAAUGCCUGUAAAAUCUUUCUCACAAUCUCCACAGAGGGUGUCUCUCGGCCAAGUGAUGUUAGUCCAUUCACAAUAUUUGUAGAACGAAUAUACAUUUCAGAAAUAGUUUCAUCAGGUUUCAUUUUGAACAUCUCAUACUUGUGCAUAAGUGUACCAAUGCACAAGAUCUUUCACUUGACUGUACCUUCAUUAGUAACCUCUCAAGUAUCCCAAAUUUCUUUCGUAGUUUUACAAACAGACACCUAGUUAUAUUCCGUCUGGACUAAGUCCGAAAAAUAAAGCAUUCAUGGCUCUAGAAUUUAAAGUGUACUUAUACUUUUCAUCAGUACUCCAUUUAGACUUAGGUUUCUCAGUAGUAAUACCUUCAGUAGUGACGGUUGGCUUUGUGUACCCUUCUUCCAUGAUUGUCCAUAGAUCAAACUCCCAUGAUUCAAUGAAAAUUCUCAUUCUAUUUUCCCAGUAGCUAUAGUGAGUUCCGUUAAUAGUGGUGGUCUCUCAGUUCCAGCUCCCUCCAUUUGAUUAAACUGUUGGUUGCCAUAGGAUCUCCUUCAGGUUGUUAAACCUUUUGAAUGAAGGCUGCAAACUUUGAUAGCAAUUGAUAUUGCAGCCUCGAGGGGGGUGAAUUGGUUGAACUCCUGUUUUUAAACCUAUUUGAAUGAACUCCAAAUAAUUAUGUUAGUAAUAAAAAAUUAAGUACAGAAUAACGAAAUGGAGACGAAGGAUUUAUUUAGUGGUUCAGCUAAUUGCUUAAUCCACUCUUAAGUGAUGUUCCCUUGAACAAUCAAUGGUAUCCACUAUGCUCAGUACUAGCACCGUUGUUGGUUUUUUUUCACAAAAGCUGAUGAGCACAAAAUAUUGACACUUAGAGGCCCCAAUAUCACAUGUUGUUAGCCCUUAAUUGCGCAUAAUUUACUAUAUUAUUUUCUUAUUUGUCUUUAACAAUGAAUUAUUCAAUUUGUAGGAAAAGAUGAUAACAACUCAUAUUUUUGCCGUUAGAUUCAAUGCAAAGCCUGUGAUCAAAAUAAAUUCAAGUGUUAGGUCCAAGCUUAUUACGGCAAGGCAAUCAAGGGGAACUAUUCGAAAUCUUGGUCAACUAGAAAUAAAGAUUGUCUUUAGUUUACAUAGAAAGAAAUCCUAAUGGCUAGGAAUUUAGGAAAGGAGAAUUCUUACCUAAUGAAUUCUCGGCAAUGUCUAUUUAAGAAGGCCAAUAGAUUUUGGCCAAAAAGAUCACUUUGCCACGCACAAGACCACUACCUCGGCUGGAGUUGACGAUCACGACGGCAAUUCGAAGAACAGAAGCAUUACCUCGGCUGGAGCAAGGAGGAAUAAGUGUUGAACAUCUUUUCAUAUUUUGUGAGACCUUAUUUUCUUCAAUGGAGUUCUUUUAUUAUUUGAGUAUGUGUUUUGACUCCAUGAGCGGCUAAACUCUUCAACUAGGGUUGAGGAUGAAGCCCCAUUAACGAUUAUUAUUUAUAUAUUUAUGAGAUUUGAUUUUACCCAAAUAUGCGGUUUCGAUUAUGAUUAAAUUGUUCUUACUCCAAAUCAAUUGUUAGGGAUAAAAUUCUGAAUAUGAGUUCAAUCAUGUUUUUCUCAUGAUUUGGAAUUGUCUUUAUCAUUGAACGCUGGUUUUUCAUCAUUAACUAUAAAACUGGAUAUUUAUUGUGAUUUGUUAAAAGCGGAUACAAUUAAUGAUUUGGUUUUAUACUUGCGAGCGGAGAGGAACAAACAUUAAACUUUUUGAUGAACUUUCACGAUGAUAUUUUCCGUGGUAACAAAAUUAGCUUUCAGAUUAUCAUGAAGGAAUUUUGGGUAAAGUCAAUGAUCAUGAAUAUCUAAUGAUACUAGUUAAUGGGUGUGGAUUCCGAAACCUUAGUAUUUUCUCCUUUGGUUAAAAAGAAACUUUAAUUUUCUCGUCUUUGAUCAUUUAGUUCAUUGUUUUUACUUUUCACUUUUAGUUUAAAAAAUCAAUCACAACUUUUUGUCAACUAGGUUAGGGUUUAAUCCCUUUAAAGUUAUUUAGCUUUCCUACAAAAAAAAUCACAAGUCCUUGUGGGUUCGACCUCGCUCUUGCAUUACUAUACUUCGGUACGAUUCGUGCACUUGCGAGUACAUUAAAAUUUCACAACAAGUUUUUGGCACUUCUUAUACAACACUGAAUAUCCCAAAUCUCACCUUCUGGUACGUGCAGACCAGAACCACAAAAUCCUCAAACUACUAGUACACGCAGACCAGUUAGCUUAAAGCUCAAAAAUAAACCAAGAUACAAAUCCUAACUGAUACACAAUGGAUAUGGCUCUCACUCUUACAGGUAGGAUAAGUGUAGUGAUAUAAAUCUGUGAGAUACAAGUGUGGCUUGAAAUACAAGAAUGCAGAGUCAGUAUUUCUCAGCCCAAUUCAAAUAUUUGCAUUUACUACAAAUACUCUUUUAGAUUUUCAGAAACACGAAAAAAGGCUAAUUUGAAAAUGGCUGCAACAUUCUAAUCAUGCUUGCAACUUACAAAUUAAUGAGGCAAAUAAUAAAUAUAUGUGUGAGAAUAAAAGCCACAUGAAAAGAUUUAUGAAAAUCUAUGAGGAGAAACAUGGACCCGUGUUUAGAGAGGAGAGAGAAAGUAAACAAAAAACAGAGUAUUGCUAUUCCCCUAUCUGAUCUACAUCCAUGGAGUCACCGAUGGAACGAAAGACAGAGAUAGAAUGCCUGUAUCUCCAAAGCCGCUUGACUUGCUUAGUAAUGAAAGAGUGCGAGCUAAUAGAAGGAUUUGACUCUGGUCAAAGCAACCAGAAGCAAGGGAAGAUUCUUUUAUCCACUAAACUAGCCUACCACGAGUCCAUGACCUGAACCGCCUACCCGUACCUGGCUGCUUGUUCUGAAUAGUGAAGUGAGAAAGACUUUGUUUUGUUAGCUUGACUUGAAAGAGGAACUUGAAAGACAGACAUUGAAACAACUAAUCACCGCUUGCCUAUCCGAAGAUUGAUUUAUCCCCUUGACUUUCAAGUGGUCAUGAGUCGAGAUGGAAAGUUCAAUCGCCAAGACGGUCAGGACUGGAACAGGAACGGAAAAGAGACUCUAUCACGAGUCCCUAGCCGUUAAAGGAAUUCUCUUUGUGGCAAGUCAACUUUCAAGUUUAGAAGAAAAGAAGAUAAUUAUGCAGGGAGUUGAUGCAUAUGGUAGCGUGAGCUUCGCGGACUUAUGUAUCUUCCCCGACUUGAAGUUACCUACUAAGUCCCCCGAUUUCGAGAAAUACAAUGGAACAAUAUAAAUAAUCAAAAAUAUACCUGCCACAUAAAAUCUCAACAUUGUAGGCCUUGUGAAUCUCCUAUAGAAAAGAGGCAUAGACUCACUUCAGAGGACGGCGAGUUUAUUGAAGUUGUGUCUCAGUUCAGAAGCAGGGUUGGGAGUCUAGUGUAUAUAACCAUCACACGACCCGACGUUGCUUCAUGCAGAAGCCAAGAACGAUAGAUACAUCUAGACGCUGCAUACAGAAUCCUCAGAUCAGAUAAAGAGAGUAAGACGUUUCAGAGAUAGCAAUUCGGCUUAGUUCAAAUAGAACUAAAGAGAACGGGUUCAACUUAUCCCAAUCCUCACUCUGGACCAAGACCAAGGUGCGUAUCCUUUUAAUAUUCUCUUUCUCUCUUUCUGGCUUAGCCUACCAGGGAAAUGGCUCCUUCUUUUUGAUAGCAUAGGUGAGAACACCCCUAAUGGGUAAACAGUCAACCGCCACUCCAACAGUAACUCCAUCCGGCUUUCCAACCAGACUGUGAGAUGAAGUGUAGCUCUAAAUGUACAAGCCCAAAUAAAAAGUGGCCCAAGAAAUUAACAAGGGAUGAUCAUCAAAAAAACAAGAACCUAACAGUCUCCACCUAGCAGUUCCAGUUAAUGAGUUUGUCUUACUAAUAUGAACAGUGCAAUUCCUCUACACACAACAUGAAAAAAGAAAAGAUA